CAGUAGCCGCGGUAAUACGAAGGGGGCUAGCGUUGCUCGGAAUGACUGGGCGUAAAGGGCGCGUAGGCGGCUUGCACAGUCAGAUGUGAAAUUCCUGGGCUUAACCUGGGGGCUGCAUUUGAUACGUGUGGGCUAGAAUGUGAAAGAGGGUCGUGGAAUUCCCAGUGUAGAGGUGAAAUUCGUAGAUAUUGGGAAGAACACCGGUGGCGAAGGCGGCGACCUGGUUCAUGAUUGACGCUGAGGCGCGAAAGCGUGGGGAGCAAACAGGAUUAGAUACCCCCGUAGUCCCUGUCUCUUAUAC
rnacentral:rRNA from 1 species